AUUGAACGCUGGCGGCAUGCCUUACACAUGCAAGUCGAACGGCAGCACGGGAGCAAUCCUGGUGGCGAGUGGCGAACGGGUGAGUAAAGUAUCGGAACGUGCCCAGUCGUGGGGGAUAACGUAGCGAAAGUUACGCUAAUACCGCAUACGAUCUAUGGAUGAAAGCGGGGGAUCGCAAGACCUCGCGCGAUUGGAGCGGCCGAUAUCAGAUUAGGUAGUUGGUGGGGUACAGGCUCACCAAGCCGGCGAUCUGUAGCUGGUCCGAGAGGACGACCAGCCACACUGGGACUGGGACACGGCCCAGACUCCUACGGGAGGCAGCAGUGGGGAAUUUUGGACAAUGGGCGAAAGCCUGAUCCAGCCAUGCCGCGUGCAGGAUGAAGGCCUUCGGUUUGUAAACUGCUUUUGUACGGAACGAAAAGGUUUGGCCUAAUAAGCUGAGCUCAUGACGGUACCGUAAGAAUAAGCACCGGCUAACUACGUGCCAGCCGCCGCCGUAA
rnacentral:rRNA from 1 species